rnacentral:rRNA from 1 species
AUUGAACGCUGGCGGCAUGCUUUACACAUGCAAGUCGAACGGUAACAGGCCGCAAGGUGCUGACGAGUGGCGAACGGGUGAGUAAUGCAUCGGAACGUGCCCAGUCGUGGGGGAUAACGCAGCGAAAGCUGCGCUAAUACCGCAUACGAUCUCUGGAUGAAAGCGGGGGACCGAAAGGCCUCGCGCGAUUGGAGCGGCCGAUGUCAGAUUAGGGAGUUGGUGGGGUAAAGGCCCACCAAGCCAACGAUCUGUAGCUGGUCUGAGAGGACGACCAGCCACACUGGGACUGAGACACGGCCCAGACUCCUACGGGAGGCAGCAGUGGGGAAUUUUGGACAAUGGGCGCAAGCCUGAUCCAGCAAUGCCGCGUGCAGGAAGAAGGCCUUCGGGUUGUAAACUGCUCUUGUACGGAACGAAACGGUCCGGGUUAAUACCCUGGGCUAAUGACGGUACCGUAAGAAUAAGCACCGGCUAACUACGUGCCAGCCGCCGCGUAAUAC